CUACACCUUAAGUUUCUUUUGUGUUCUUCCAGGAGAGAAUUUGAACUGCAUGCAUUUUACUUGAAAAAUAAACUUAUAGAAGCAAGAAAGGCUAUCUCUGAAGCCAACAGACCGCCAAAAACAGGAGCUUAAGGCGGUAACAAGGUCAGAGCCACUGUCUUUGAGGAGUUGCCUGGGAGUUUGUGAGUCUGCUCUUUCCCAGAUGGCCAGAUACUAUUUCUCUCCAGAUUCUCUAAUACUGGUACCAAUGAGAGAAUUUAUUUUAAAAAUGCACCCAGGUGUUUGUGGUUGAAUAUAACUGGAGUCUAGUUUGGACUCUGGAGCCAUCCCUGGAAUGCCAUGUACCUGCCAACCAGAGGAGCCUCAUACUGUGACUCCAGGAGAAGCACAUUUGACAGGGUUCCUAGACUGUGGACUUAGUGUCUGUGAAGGUUGGUGGAGGCAAUCAAUCCUCAUAGUACCUCAUCAUCCAUGGAAAUUUAAAAUACCAUCAGUUAUCAUUGCUGCUGACUACAUACGACUGCUAAAUUAAAUUCUGAGUUAAUUAAAAUGAAAUGAAAUAAACAUUUGUGUCUGCUGGCCACAUGGAGAGACUUUGCAUGCACUCUUGACCCCGUGUCCAUGGAGCGCACAGAUACAGAACAUUCCCACCAUCACCGGAAGUUCUCUCAUUAGUUUCUAGCUUAAUUCUACCAAUGAGCACACACGUAUUUGUGACAACACUGGCAAAACCAUCUUCUCAUUGUGCGUCUCAUGAGUACCUUAUGUGACGGGCAAGUGUGCAUCCAGGAGCUAUGGGUGCUGAAUUCAUGGGUAAAUGAUCAGCCUGUCUGUACCCCUCACCUGCUUAGCAUCUGAUGCUCCCUCUCCUCUGAUGUUCACAGGCUUAUCAAUCAACAAAGCGUGAGACAAUGAAGGCAACUGAAUCUCCCCCUUCGCCAAUUGCAGCUUCAGCACCCAUCACCAUGUUAACUUCGAAUAUAUCCUUCCUAGACCGGCUCCCCGCAGCCCACAUCUAGACUCAAUGAACAAUGCAAAUGAGGAAUCUGAGAGGAUUCAGAGAGGCUCUAACACUGCUUCCUGCCCAUCCUAAGCUAGCUAGAAGCCUCGGGUGCUUGGACUCACGGGUCACAGAGACUAUGUCCUGCUGACAAUUUCCCGAGGUCUUAGCAGUUACACUUCCUUUGCUUUGAUCAAAGCUUGGCGUGAGUUGUUAACUACAAGGGAGAAACAGUUAAAGAGUUCAGCCCCGUGAUUCGGCACUCAGGCAGCCAACUGCACGGAAACAAAGUACUAACUCAGAGAGUUAGCUUCAUAAUUCAUGCUAGAAAUCUCUUCAAGACUGAAAGUCUGGCCUUUUACCAAGCCAUCUGGUUCAUUCAACCUUCUCCUCUCCUAUCAGAAUUCUGAAUGCAAAACCCUGCCAACAAUUAAGUGUUGAAACCAUUUCUAGAGGUUCUUAGACUUGAGUUAGAAUGGUGGGGCCAGUUCCAGGGAGGCAUUUGAAAUGAAUGUAACUUUGGGAUGAAUGUUUGCCGUCUGCCUUUGCAGGUGUAAGAAAUGAGGAAGCCGAGACAUUUUUGUUUAGCUUAGAGCCAGUUAUUACAAAGCUGAUUCUGCGACCUACAAAGCAAAAUCAAAGAAGGGAAAGAUAGUGUUUUUUGAACAUGAUUCCAAAAAAACCACAGAUCAUGUUGCAGGAACAUCCUUAGGCAGCUGGGCAUGGAUACUAGUAAAAGUGGAAAGUGUAGUGUGUCAAAACCGUAAGUGUCAGGUCACCCUUUGCCGAAAGUUAAUAACAAGCGGGAAGCAAAAGAUUGCUCAUUAUUUUUACUGGCCCCGCUUUCCAGCAGAGUGCCUGCAUUGCCUGUUCUUUGCAUUCUGCCUUCCUGCAGGUCAUUACAGCACACAAAACUCCUGAGGGUGAUGGCUUUGUCAGAAAGAGUUCAUGCAGGGGCUCGAAGCCUCAAGCUGACAGGUUGUUGAUCACUGAGCCAAAACCAAGGUGGCCAUGCAAAGAAGAGCCAGAGGGUCCAAGAGCAUUCACUAAGCUGGCUGCACUGGACUUCCUGUCAGCAUGACUACAGUAACCACAUCAUCAGGGAUGUCCACACUUCAAAUGCGUCAUUGUUCCUGGUGGACGAUCCUAUUCAUUUCCAGAUCGAAGCCUGCUGACCUACCUACAAGAGGAUGAAGAAGUUACCAGGUUAGCUGAGGAAGCAUGAAUAGGGCAAAAUCACAGAGAAAUGUAUAUUUGUACAAUUAUCCAGUUGUGUUAUCUGCCCAUUUCACUCCUAUUCUGUUGAAUAUUCUAGUGUACCUGAUCAGGACAUAUUGCUCGUAAUAAACCCUAAUU